GAUGAACGCUGGCGGCGUGCCUAAUACAUGCAAGUCGAGCGAACGGACGAGAAGCUUGCUUCUCUGAUGUUAGCGGCGGACGGGUGAGUAACACGUGGAUAACCUACCUAUAAGACUGGGAUAACUUCGGGAAACCGGGGCUAAUACCGGAUAAUAUUUUGAACCGCAUGGUUCAAAAGUGAAAGACGGUCUUGCUGUCACUUAUAGAUGGAUCCGCGCUGCAUUAGCUAGUUGGUAAGGUAACGGCUUACCAAGGCAACGAUGCAUAGCCGACCUGAGAGGGUGAUCGGCCACACUGGAACUGAGACACGGUCCAGACUCCUACGGGAGGCAGCAGUAGGGAAUCUUCCGCAAAGGGCGAAAGCCUGACGGAGCAACGCCGCGUGAGUGAUGAAGGUCUUCGGAUCGUAAAACUCUGUUAUUAGGGAAGAACAUAUGUGUAAGUAACUGUGUACAUCUUGACGGUACCUAAUCAGAAAGCCACGGCUAACUACGUG
rnacentral:rRNA from 1 species